AUAUAUUAUGUUUUGUAAUAUUUAUUUAUGUUUUGUAAUAUUUUUAAUGAGGGUUACAUUUGUAUUGAUUAUUAGGGUUGGUUACAUGGUUACUUGUGUGUGAGAGAUAGAGAGAGAGAGUAUAAGGUUGGUAAAUGUGGUUAAAAGUGUAAAAAAAAAAAAAAAAAAAAAAAAAAAAUUGGUUACAACAGGUUGGGUUUCCUUUUUUUUUGGUGUGUCAUAUUUUUCAUGGUUACGGUUACAUUGGAUAUGGAUAUGGUGAUAAUGAGGAUAUCAUGAUGGAAUGGUGGUUACUUUAACACGGAUGAAAAAGUACAUAAUAUAUAGUAGUGUAGUAACAUAAAAACAGAAAGUUGUUUCCAAAUGUGGAAAAUGGACAAAAUUAUCACGAGGUUAAUUUAUUUUUAAAAAUAGUAUAAAGUUUGAUGGAUGGAUUGAGAGUAACAAUAUGUAUUUUGUGAGGAAAUAACGGGUGGAAAAGGGAUCCAAUGUUGUUAUGUUUUUACUUUUGAAAUCUGUAACUGUAAUGGUUUUUCUUUAUUAUUUAUUUAUUGUUGUUUUUAUUUGUAUUCUUAAUGAACCCACCUUUUAUUUAUUAUUUUUAUUUUUAUUUUUAUUUUUUUCAAACAACAAAAGAAACAUCGAAAAUGGCUGGUAUAGAACCCCAAAAUAUCACCAAACAUGACGUAGAAGAAUGUUCAAUUUCUUGACCAAAUAUGUGGAAAAUUUUGGUGCGGUUACAUAUGCACAAUAUCCAACAUUUUCAAAAGAAACAAAAAAAAAUUUUUUUCAUCAAACCACAUUUAGGUCAGGUAUGCGUGGCUGGAUCUGGCAAAAAGUAACGAUGUUACUUGUCUAAGACUGAUGAAGCGGGUGUAAAGAUGAGUCUGGUGGUGAAAUGGAGAAGGCUGGAAUGCAAAAACAGUCAUUCGAAAGGAAAAUUUUCAUCUUUACGAAAUUCGAUAGGUCCUUUAUCACGUGUUGAACACAUCAUGAGGCUCAAGUGUUUGGUUUUGUUCUGUGAAUUUACAAGAAUGAAAAAGAUCGACAGGCAAAUGGGUCAAAAGUUGAAAAGUGAAAGAGGGAGUAGAGGUAGUUGUAUGGAGGAAGAAAAUAGAUAAUUUAGAGGAAAUAGAUGAGAUGCAUUUCUUUUACAAUUUUGAGUAAUAAACAUCCAUGUAGCUGAAGCCAGAGUGCAAAAAAAAUGCAUUUAGAGUGUGUUUUCCUUGGGGAAGGGUGGGGCAUGUUAUGGGAAGGUGGAGAGAAAAAAUGAAAAAAACAAGGUAAUUUGUAGGAUUUUUACAAAAUAAAUAAAUACAUUUUAUAUAAUUUAACCAAAAGUAAUGUUUUAUAAUGAAAAUGAGCUUGGUUGACCAACUUUGUAAUUUUCGAUUUUCAUGACAUUCAAGUAUUUACAAAAUAACAUAAACAUAAUACACUACACAUUCCCAACAUUUUUCAAAAACAAAAUGGAAAAAACAAAAAAAGUGCAAACAAAUAAAAGAAAAAAUAAGAAAACAAAAAAACAACUACAAAGGUAUUGAAAAUCGUGCGAAAUAUGGGAUGGAACAUAAAAAUGCAAAUUUUUCGAUACAAAACAUGUGAGGAAAGCAUGAAAAACAAAAGAAAAUG
rnacentral:lncRNA from 1 species